CGAACGGGUGAGUAACACGUGGGUAACCUGCCCUUCACUGGGGGACAACCGAGGGAAACUUCGGCUAAUACCGCAUAACGUGCGUUGCUUUAAGGCGACGUACCAAAACUCCGGUGGUGAAGGAUGGGCCCGCGCCAGAUUAGCUUGUUGGUGGGGUAAUGGCCCACCAAGGCGACGAUCUGUAGCUGGUCUGAGAGGACGAUCAGCCACACUGGAACUGAGACACGGUCCAG
rnacentral:rRNA from 1 species